CCUGCUCUAGGGUGAGGUCCAGAUUCCCCAGGACCUGGGCUUGCCUAUCAGCCUAGAAUCUCUCUCACUAGUCUCCUCUCUGUAGUGGAUUAGAUGAAGGCCCCCAAAAAGACAAGCCCAGGACCAGUCCCAUGGCCUAGUGGUUAAGUUUGGCACACACUGCUUCUGUGGCCUGGGUUUGGUUCCUGGGCGUGGACCUAUGCCACUCCUCUGUUGGUGGCCAUGCUAUGGUGGCAUCCCACAUACAAAAUAGAGGAAGAUUGGCACGGAUGUUACCUCAGGGACAAUCUUCCUCAGCAAAAAAAAAAAAAAAAAGAUAUAUCCACAAUAUCCACAUCCUAACGCCUGGGCCCUGUGAAUGUCACCUUAUUUCGAAAAAAGGUCUUUGCAGAUGUAAUUAAGUUAAGAGUCUUGAGAUGAGGAGAUCAUCCUGGAUUACCUGGGUGGGUCCUAAAUCCAAUGACAAGUGUCCUUAUAAGAAGUAAAAGAGAAGACACAGACAUAGAGUAGAAGGCCAGUGAAGGUGGAGGCAGGGACCAGAAUAUACAGCCACAAGGAAUGCCUGGAGCCUCCAGAAGCUGGAAUUCCAGACGUGAGGAAGGAUUCUCCCAUAGUGCCUCUGGAGAGAGUGCCACCUGCUGACACCUUGAUCUCAGACUUGCCACCUCCAGAGCCGUGAGGAAAGGAAUUUCCGUUGUUGCAGCCACCCAGUCUGUGGUGAUUUGUCACGGCAGCCCCAGGAAGCUAACACCCUCCCCCACAGGGCUCCAGCCAUGCCACCUGGCCUGAGAAAGAACUACCAGACUCCUCAAAGCUGCCUGGAUCUCUUUCUGGACCUUUGCACAUGCUGAUCCUUCUGCCCAAAACAUUCUUCCAUCCCCUUAUUGUGCAACUCACUCCUAUGGUCCCAUCACUCCUGCUGAAAAGUCUUCUCUGCCUCCUCAGCCAGGGCAUGUGGAUCGCUGUUAAAUAGCUGAAAGGGAAGACCAGCAACUUAGUUCCGUGGCCUCACCUGGAUGAGCCAGCUCAGCACCAGCCUCACUUCAGGGAACUGUCUGCCCAUCCCUUGGGACUGGCCCCUGCCACCUCACACACGUGCCCUCCAUGUGCACGUGGCUGCCACAGGGGCUGCAGGUUGGAACAGUGGGCCUUGCCCUUGGCACAGCCCAUUGGUCAAGAGGUGGGUGCCUGACCCAAGCCAGCCAAUCAGAAUUCUCCCCCAGCAUUUGGGAACUGCAACUGACAAAAGAAGUCAGCCUCUCCCUGGGUGUCUGAAAAUGAAGACGUGCAAAUGCAGAAGCAGUUGGCAGCCCCGUUCCACCAUGUGGACUGAGGAAGAGAAAAUGCCAAUCAGCAGAAAGAGAAUCAGAGGCAAG
rnacentral:lncRNA from 1 species